rnacentral:rRNA from 1 species
UACGAGGGGGGCAAGCGUUGUUCGGAAUUAUUGGGCGUAAAGGGUGCGUAGGCGGUUUGGUAAGUCUUAUGUGAAAUCUACAGGCUCAACUUGUAGUCUGCAUGAGAAACUGCCGGGCUUGAGUAUGGGAGAGGUGAGUGGAAUUCCUGGUGUAGCGGUGAAAUGCGUAGAGAUCGGAAGGAACGUCAAUGGCGAAGGCAGCCACCUGGCAUAAUGCUGACGCUGAGGCGCGAAAGCGUGGGGAGCGAACAGG